rnacentral:rRNA from 1 species
AGAGUUUGAUUUUGGUUUAGAAUGAAUGGUGGCGGUGUGCCUACUACAUGCAAGUCGAGCGGGCCUUGGGGUAACCUGAGGUUUAGCGGCGAACGGGUGAGUAAAGUGUAGAUAACCUAUCUUCGAGUGGGGGAUAACGCACCGAAAGGUGUGUUAAUAUUGUAUAAAGUUGUUAAUUUGCUUGGAAAGAGAAUGAAAGUGGGGGUUUUGUUUUGGUAGACCUCACACUCGGAGAGGGGUCUACAUCCUAUUAGUUAGUUGGUGGGGUAAAGGUUUAUUAAAGUGAUGAUGGGUAGCCGGCCUGAGGGGGUGUUUGGUUAUAUGGGUAUUGAGAUAUGGGUCCGACUCCUACGGGAGGCAGCAGUAGGGAAUCUUGGGUAAUGGGCGAAAGCCUGACCCAGCGACACCGCGUGGAUGAUGAAGGCCUUCGGGUUGUAAAGACCUAACACAUAUUAAGAAAGGCAUAUGGAUAAUAUCUGUAUGUUUUGAUGAAGGUAUGAAAUGAAGUUAUGGUUAACUCCGUGCCAGUAGUUGUGGUAAUAUGGAGAUGACAACCGUUGUUCGGAAUUACUGGGCUUAAAGAGCACGUAGGCGGGAUAUUAAGUUGGUUGUGAAAGAUUGGGGUUUAUUUUUGGGAAGUUAACCAAGACUGGUAUUCUUGAGGCCGGUAGGGGAGAGUGAAAUGUGUUGAUUUUUUGGGUUGUGCCUGACGCUGAGGUGCGAAAGCUAGGGGAGUGAAUGGGAUUAGAUAUCCCGGUAGUUUUAGCUGUAAACGAUGGGCACUAAGUAGAGGGGUUAUAACCUCUCUGUUGGAGUAAAAGUGUUAAGUGCCCCGCUUGGGGAGUAUGGUUGUAAGGUUGAAACUCAAAGGAAUUGACGGGGGCUCGCACAAGCGGUGGAGCAUGUGGUUUAAUUCGAAUCAAUGUGAAGAAUUUUACUUGGGCUUGACAUUCUGGGAUUAGUCCUACGAAAGUGGGAUAACACUCCCUUGGGAGUGGAACCAGAACAGGUGUUGCAUGGCUGUCGUCAGCUCGUGUUGUGAGGUGUUGGGUUAAGUUUUAUAACGAGCGAAACCUUUGUCCUUAGUUGCCAGCGGUUAGGUUGGGGAUUUUAAGGAGACUGCAGACGUUAAGUCUGAGGAAGGUGGAGACGACGUCGAGUCAUCAUGGUUCUUAUGCCCAGGGCUACACACGUGCUACAAUGGUCGGUAUAAAGGGAAGUGAGGUUGUGAGGUGGAGUAAGUUUUAAAAAGCCGAUCUCAGUUCGGAUUGAGGGCUGUAGUUUGCCCUCAUGAAGCCGGAAUCGCUAGUAAUCGUGGGUCAGUAAUACCACGGUGAAUGUGUUCCCGAGCCUUGUACACACCGCCCGUCAAGCCACCGAAGCAGGGGCGGCCUGAAGUCACUGACCCAACCCUUUUGGGGGAGGGAGGUGCUUAAGGAAGCUUCUGUGACAGGGACUAAGUCGAAACAAGGUA